rnacentral:lncRNA from 1 species
AGUUGUUGGUCUUGCAACUGACGAAGUUGAAUAGUCUGAUAGAAGUGCAUUCCCUUAGCUUCACUGCCACGCCCAUGGUGAAUGGACAUUGAAGCUAGCUUCUGAAUGAACGAUUUGUGAUUAUAGAAUACAGAAAGGUGCUGGCUUGAUUUUAUGGGUAAAAACUGGAAGCGUGUGUGAUGUACUAUAUGAUGAUUGAUGACAUAAAAUAAGUAGUUAGACAAAAUUUGGAUUAUUCCCCUUAAUGUGAAGA